AUAUAUAAAUAUAUAUGUUCCAAUUUCAAUGGAAAUCUUAACUGGGAAACUCUUAGUAUUUUAAAUUGGCAGUGAAACCCCCAAUGAUUGCCUUUAAUGUCGUUACAACAAUCAAAUGUUUGUUUGGUCUCUGCCCUGUGCAUCGGCUGCCUGAUCAGCUUUAUCAGAGCCGCGCCCAUACUUCCAACUACAUCUGAUCCUGUCCAGUUGACGCCUCCUUCAACCACACUUUAUCAGACUAUUGCGGCUACUAGCCCACACCGGCUGCAUCUUAUUCCACAAACAAGGGCUGACGAUGACUGGAUCCCAACAGGAUCGACAUUUUAUUCGCACAGCGCAACGAAAGUCCCAGUAAGGACCGCUUUUGCGGCAUAUAUUAUCUCAAACCUCACACAGAUUGUACACUCGAAAACGCUCAGAGUCUGGCCUACACACGCCGAGCGUGUCAAGCUCGAUCCCUUUUUAAGCUCAAUCAUUCAGAACUAUGGAGCUGAGGCCACGACUGUUUUCAGGGCCAUCCAUCCGAGCUUUCGUUUUAGGCAUCCAAAGAGACGCAAAGGCAAUCUGACCCGGAACGCUUCGAGUUUCCUGGCAACCAGAACUCCGGGGCUGAUGCCGGCCACAAAGGUUUUAAGACCAACCGAUUCAAUAAGCCCAUCAGCAGCCAGAUCUGAUUCAAAUAUCGAAAAAGAAAACAAACACAAAAGGAAGAGUAAAAAGCGAGCGAAGGUUAGGGUCACGACGCCCCGUCCGAGCAUUGGGGUUACGGAUCCCGCCGAGACAGGGGAAAUCGGAGUGCGUUCAGAAAACAGAAAUCCAGGACUGGUGCUGCUGGGUGUUCGUGCGACCCGCAAAGCUCGACACCGCAGUACACCCUCAGGAUCCAAAUCAGAUAUUGAUAUCGAAGAAAAAGACGAAGACGAAGAGGAAAGACAAAAGAGUACAAUGCGUUUGCGCGGAAGUAAGAAUUCACGCAGAAAGCAGGCCGUAAACGGACAUACAAAAAACCGUAAUAUUUCCAUUCCCAUGGAGCUUACGCUACCGUUGAAAUAUCUGGCCCGGGCGGGAUAUGGGGAAUCCACGGAGGAACCAUUUAUACAGACCGAACCACCCGUAUGGAAGGACACACGGUACCAUUUCCAACACCAGAGUCGACAGGCCCGUCUCCGCUUGGAUUCGAAUCCCAUGGUGGAAUACUAUCCCGAUAAUGAGAAGAUGCGAGAAGUGUGCAGAGACCAGUCGACCAUUAUCGGAACGGAUAUUGUUACUGGCUAUAUUAAGCCACAUAUCUAUCAGAAGCACUACGAGGAGAGAGUCCUUUACAAUGAAUUUCGGGAAAAUUGGUAUGACAUAGCUCCCAUUUUGUUAAUGUGCCACCAUCCUAUAAAUAGUCCAGUCGUUAAGUAUUUGAGAUGUGUCAUUACCCGGCACAAGAUGAUGGAGUCCAUGCUACCCAAAUAUCCCUACCACCAGGUCCAAGAAGCUCUACCAUAAGCAGGGCUAAAGCUGCAACAGAGCAACAGAACACGCUGCCAUUAUGGGGAUAGAUGGACCCAUCCAUUCUCUUGUCUCUUUGCCCAAAUACUUACACAAUUACUCCAUUUUGUAGUCUGUGAAAAUCAAAUAAAAUCGAUGCGGAACAUCUCUCGGUCACUGCUCUCAGUGUGCCCUUCAAUUUUUUACUUUUAUUUAUUGACAUUAUUUAAAGACUUGCUUCCAUUUACAAUUGAAAUCGUAACAAGGAAGUCUCUUAGUAUUUUAAAUUGGCAGUGAAACCUCUAAGGAUCGGCCCCAAAUGUCGAGACAUUUGGUCUCUGCCCUGUGCAUCGGUUGCCUGAUCAGCUUAAUCAGUACCGUGCCCAUACUUCCACCGUUCACAUAUCCUGACCAGUUGAAGCCUUACUUAAGCUCAGUCCAUCGGCAUACUACGGCAACGUUCCAGCCACUGGCAACCGCACACAAGGCACUGAAAACGGCCAACGCUUCCAUUUCCAAACUCAAUGCCACAACUCAAAGGCCUAGAGUAUUGAGUGCAACAGGCGGCAAAGAAAGGACUGCUUUUCGGGCAUAUAUUUCCACAAACCUCACACGGAUUGUACAUCCGAAUACGCUGAAAGUCUGGCCCUCACACGCCGAUCGUGCCAAGGUCGAGCCCUUCUUAAACGCAAUCAUUCAGAGUAGUGGAACUAAGUUCACGACUUCUUUCAGGACAAUCCAUCCGAGCGUUGUGGUUAAGAAUCCACCUUCCAAAUUUAGAUCGAUCAGAAACCAAGGGCUGAUGCUGGCUCUUCGCCCAAGCACAAUCGCACAAAAUCUCAGUAGCCCAUCAGCUGGCAGAAAGCAGCAGGAGGCAAAGGGACAGAAGAGGAUCCGUAAAGUUCCCAUUGAGCUUACACUACCGAUGAAAUAUUUGGCCAGGGCGCGAACGGUGACGGAUCAGUUUGUAUAUACCGACCCACCGGUGUGGAAGGACACGCGCUACCAUUUCCAACACCAGAGUCGACAGCCCCGCAUCCACGUGCAGUCGAAUCCUUUGGUGGACUACUAUCCCAAUAAAGAGAUGAUGAGCACCGUGUGCGGCGACAGGUCAACCAUUAUCGGCACGGAUAUAGUCACAAACUACAUUAAGCCGCAUAUCUACCAGAAGGCCUACGGCAAGAGAAUUCUUUACAAUAAUAUGAGAGCGAAUGGCACAUUGACUAUGAUGUUGAUGUUCUGCCAUCAGCCUAAAAUUGUUCCUGUCAAAACGUUUCUGGAGUGCAUCAUUAUGCGACACAUGAUGAUGGAGUCCAUGAUACCCAAAUAUCCAUACCAUCAGGUCCAGCAAAAGUUAUAGACGAAAACUGUUUCAGGCAGAUAAUCCACAGUGUCUGGGACAAUGUAGUUCGGCUGAUCAUCUCGUAUCUAGGGAUUAGCAUUGAUUUUAGUACUAAGAUCAUCGUACACAUUGCCCUUUCAUUCCCCCCAAUGGUAUAGUCACAUUUAAAUAUAAAAUUCAUAGUGCUACAUGUA